UGGUUAGUAGGUUGGUCAUGCCUCUGGUAUGUACUGGUCUCACUGAUUCCUCCUUCCUGGUGAACCUUAAUGCCAUUAAUUUGGUGUUUUGGGGAAUUUGGACUGUUACUUUGAAAAAAUUAGAGUGUUUAAAGCAAGCUAACGCUUGAAUACAUUAGCAUGGAAUAAUGAAAUAGGACGUUCGAUCCUAUUUUGUUGGUUUCUAGGAUUGACGUAAUGAUUAAUAGCGAUAGUUGGG
rnacentral:rRNA from 1 species